UACGUAGGGUGCGAGCGUUAAUCGGAAUUACUGGGCGUAAAGCGUGCGCAGGCGGUCUGUUAAGACCGAUGUGAAAUCCCCGGGCUUAACCUGGGAACUGCAUUGGUGACUGGCAGGCUUUGAGUGUGGCAGAGGGAGGUAGAAUUCCACGUGUAGCAGUGAAAUGCGUAGAGAUGUGGAGGAAUACCGAUGGCGAAGGCAGCCUCCUGGGCCAACACUGACGCUCAUGCACGAAAGCUAGGGGAGCAAACAGG
rnacentral:rRNA from 1 species